rnacentral:rRNA from 1 species
CCUACGGGAGGCAGCAGUGGGGAAUAUUGCACAAUGGGGGGAACCCUGAUGCAGCGACGCCGCGUGUAUGAAGAAGUAUUUCGGUAUGUAAAGCUCUGUCAGCAGGGAAGAAGAAAGACGGUACCUGAACAACAAGCACCGGCUAAAUACGUGCCAGCAGCCGCGGUAAUACGUGGGGGACAAGCGUUGUCCGGAUUUACUGGGUGGAAGGGGAGCGUAGACGGCAGGGCAAGUCGGGAGGGAAAGGCAGGGGCACAACCCGUGGACUGCUCUGGAAACUGUCCGGGUGGAGUGCAGGAGAGGUAAGUGGAAUUCCUAGUGUAGCGGUGAAAUGCGUAGAUAUUAGGAGGAACACCAGUGGCGAAGGCGGCCUACUGGACGGUAACUGACGUUGAGGCUCGAAAGCGUGGGGAGCAAACAGGAUUAGAUACCCUUGUAGUC